GAGCAAAUUCGGAACCCCAAUCUCGGGGGGCCCGUGUGUAUCUGCCGAGAUUGACUGUAAAAUUAAAAAGAAUAAGUUCUAAGCACAUCAUUCUCGGCGGGCCUUGUGUGUUCCGUCAAAAUUGAAAAAAAGAUCACUGAACAAUGGACCAAUCUCGGCAGGCUAUAAAAGGCCCGUCGAGAUUCCUCCCCUUAAAAUUUAAAGCAGACGGUUAUGGGCAUUAAGACUACCCAAUCUCGACAAAGACAUUAUGGCCCGCCGAGAUCGGUCCCUGAAAAAACCCUAAUCAGCUGCCCAACCCGUCACAAUGCUUGCCCCUCUUUUCUUCCCCAAUUUUUGUUCGCUCUCUUUCUCCCUCCAAAAUUUCAGUCGCAUAUUUUAUCUAUCUCUCUGAUUCUCCCUCCUUCUCUCGUUCUCUCUCCCUCCUCUUGUCGAUUCUCUCUCUUGCUCACAUUUGACAAUUGACAUCUCGCAUCACCAUCUUCCUUUCGUUUUUCAGGUGCAGCAAGUAUUGGAGAAGACGUUGGGGAUGGAACAACGCCAGAGCUAGGGACGACGAAACAUGGUCACUGGAUACGAACACUAUUGAAUUUUACCUUGUGGAGGAAAUUAUAUAGAGUUCAUGCUACCCUUUUGCAAGAUAAUGAAGACAAAGUAUGAGUGGAGUAAGGGUGCCCCCGAAAUUAUUUAGGAUUAGAGCAGAUUCAACCAAUGUAUUAUCGAAACUGGAAGGCUGAUCACAUUAAUUGGUUGUUAAUAUUCUUGAAAAUGUUGCACUUAAGGGGAUAAGCCACUAUUGGAAAAUGAGGAUUAGGAAUAAAAAAUAGUUGGUUGUUACUUUCAUGAGAGGAGAUAUCAUUGGUUGCCAUACUUGUAAAGUGACGAAAUGUGUAUGUAACAUUUAUCUUUGUAUAUUUGUUUUGAAAGAUUUUUACUAUUAAUUAUGUACUAUUUGUAUAGAGAUCAUUUUUGUUUGAUAUUUGUGGUUUAAAUUUGGUUAUUAUAUACACAAAUAAUAUUGGCAGC